AACUUCUUUGACUGUUCUCAAAAUUGAGAAUCUUGCAGAGCUUGUUUGCUUUGAUCAUGGGUUUACGAGUUACUUGGUUAAGCUAAAGGAGCUUUAUGUAAGACGGUGUGACAAGCUAGAACACUUGUGGCAAAAUGGAAAUGAGAUGCAAAAUCUUGCUUGCCUUCAGAGUGUAGUCAUUGAUAGUUGUCCUCAAUUCACAUCUUUUGUGGCUGGAGAUGGAGAAAUGGAGCUAUCCUGCAACCUUGAAAAGAUGGAAUUGAUAAAUUGCACGAGUUUACAAAAGCUUCCAAGCAAUAUGUACGCAUUAAUAGAUUUGAAAAUUGAGAAUUGUCCAAAAAUCAUGGGACUAAUAAUUUCUCAAGAUGACCCCAAUAGCAAUAACUUGAUAUCUCAACUUGAAUUUCUUACUAUAAGUGAAUGUGAUUCUUUGAUAUCAUUUUCAUUUGCCAAGGGUAGACUUGCUUCUCUGAAGGAGCUUGUUAUUGAGAAGUGUGAGGGGGUGGAGUCCCUCAAAGAGAUCACAGCAGAAUCGCUGGAUUAUUUGUUUAUAAAGAGAUGUGAGAAUUUGGUGAGUCUACCACGAUGCCUUCACACGCUCUCCCAUCUCACUUGGUUGAGUCUAAAUGGGUGUCCAUCAUUGGAGAUAGAGGACUUCCCUCCCCUUCCCAUCACCCUGGUGACACUUGAUCUUUGGUCGCUUCCUAAGAUGAAGUCUCUACCAAAGGAGUGGCAUCAUCUUACGUCCCUCCGCUGGCUAAAUAUUUCGGGCUGUGAAAAUAUCAGAUGCUUGCCCGAAGGAGGUUUGCCUCCCAAUUUGCGGCAGUUUUCAAUUUGGGAGUGCAAGAAUAUGAAGCAACCACUGAGAGAAUGGGGCUUACCCAUGCUCACAUCCCUCGAGCGUCUGAUAAUGGAGGGAAACAGCAUGGGAGGGGAGGGAGACAAGGUGCGGUUUCCUUCGGAGGGAGACGACGAGGAUGCCUGGAGUCUUCUCUUUCCUUCCUCUCUAACCGAUCUUCACUUGAGAGAUAUGAGGAAUGUGGAAAGUCUAUCAAGCGGUCUUCGCAACCAUCUCUCCUCUCUCCAAUGGUUAUGGGAUUACAGAUUGCCCGAAGUCGAAGUUGAGGUACUUGCCAGAGGGGGCCUCCCUCCCUCCCUCCAAUGGUUGUCCAUAAGAAAAUGCGAGAAUCUGAAAGAUCGAUACUCAAAACACUCCGGCCACUGUGGGCCCUCAUCCAAGAGAUCCCUUUCAUUCAAUGGUGUGUAUAACGGAUGCAAUAAAUCGAUUCAUCCUGGUACGGUCAGAUUUUCUAGGGCUCGGAUAAGUUUAUGGUCUUGAAGGCAUCGAUUUCCCAUUCUGCUUCCUCAACUCGAUGCUCAAUGCAAAUCGAUACUUCCUCAUGGAGAUGCUCCGCAUGAAUUUCCGGAAAUCCAGGAAAUCCUCAACAUCGGCGUCGAUGGGGUUCUCAGAUCCGAUGAAGUGAAAUCGAACCACUUGUUCUUGAACGGGCUAACUGCCGCGAUUCAAUCCCUUCGAUCUACGGUCGGAUUUCUAAGGGUUCGGGUAAGUCCUUUCGUCUUGAAUGCAUUGAUUUCGUGUUUCUGUUCUUCAUUUCGAUGCUUAAUUACGAAGUAAAUUCUUCCGAUGUGCGCAGACGUUUGCUUCUCGUGUUGAAGUACGACUGAAAUUCAGAGCUAAAAAAUUGAUAAUUAGCUGCUUGAAUAUCCAGCAAGAGCUUAUUUUAGUCUCCGAUUGCACUGGCUUGCGAAAGUUGAUGAUGAUGAUGAUGAUAUUCUUGUAUGCCACAGCUGCAUCCAUGUCCACUACUGCCUUGGGCUGGCUUUUCUCUUCAGCCACUGCAAAGCUCUUUCGAACGGCAAGUAAUUCAGCCUCCUCUGCAGGCAACCAUCUCCCCUGUUUCAGUUCUGGCCUCAUUCCCAACAAUUUUUGUUCAUAUACGGAUGUGAGAUUCUGAAAAAUCGAGAUGUUCAAAUGUCACUGGCGACUAUUGGCCUCUCAUCCAAGAGAUAUCUUUCAUCAGCAUUGAUAGCCACGAUAAAAGAUUUGUCUCCAUUGACUGCUUUUUAUUAAUCAGGUAAUGCUUCCAACUUCUUUUAUAUUUUUGCUUUCAUUUGUUAACUGUCGGGAUUCAUACAUUGAUGCAAUGUAAGCUUUCUAGGUUCAGGUAGGUUUUUGGUUUUCGAGGCAUCAAUUUUGAUUCUGCUCCCCCAAUUCGAUGUGUAAUACACACUGAUGUUUUCCCAUGGAGGUGUUUCCAGUUACCUUGUCAUUGUCUUGCACUAAUUGAACUUAUUGGAAUCAGUCUUUACAUCGAAAAUAUAAUAGAACCAUUUGGUAAUUACAGCUACAGGGAGCCUCUGUCAUCAUACAUCUAACUUAUAAUGGAAUGGAAACCAAUGUGAAUGUUCCAACUUGCAAAUUAUUGGAAUAGAAUAGUUAUGCUAGCCUGAAUUACAGAAAUUUAUAAUACCAAGUAGUUCCAAUAUCUGUGCCUAUGGGCAAUAUUGGGCUUUGCACAUAAUAAAUGUGGAAAUCUUUUUGUUUUUAAAUGUGGACUUUAAGUUCUGCUUUAAUGACCAGUGAAUACUAUAGCUUUAUCUUUGUGAAUUGUUAGUUUCUUGUCUAAUGAUAGAUGAGUAUGAUUUUGUGUAUUUAAUUAUCCCUGACUGUAGGGUUUGGAUGCAGUUGAGACACUCAUUCAAGGUUUGGUCUUGUUCCAAGGAGGAAUUCUGAUGGUGAGAUUGAUUUUUCUUGCUAACAUACUUUAAUAUGACCAAUGAUGGAUCAUCUUUACAGCUAACAGCCAUCUUUUCACCUUGAUUUGCAGGUUAGUCAUGAUGAGCAUCUAAUAUCUGGAAGCGUGGACGAGCUCUGGGUGAUUUCUCAAGGCAAGGUGGCGCCUUUCCUUGGGAAUUUCCAGGAUUAUAAGAAGAUACUUCAGUCCUCAUUGAAUCAGGCGAGUUUAGCUCUUGUCAUCAACCAAGAGUGUUUUAACAUGAUCACAUCACAUCACCCUACAAAACAUAGAAUGAGACUUUGUUACAGAGAGAAAACAAAAAAGGAUGAAGAGAGGAUUGCUGCUGAUAUACAGGAUGUACUCACAACUACAGCAGCCCUCGUUUGUCAUUUUGAUUAGGGCUCAUGGAAGGAUGAGUCUCAAGUUUUUGACAUUGAAUAUGCAGUAUCAUUUGCCAACAGCUUAAAAAAAUGAGUCUGGAUUGCAGUCCUGGUAAUAAUUUAUGACCCUUUGCCCAUUUUUAUCUUAGUGACAGGUUCGUUUGUUGUGCCCCUGGAAAUUUGACACGGAAGUGCUUUUUAUUUUGCGCUAAUAUUAACUUUCAUUUUCUUCUUUUUUGUCCUUUUUCUAACCCUAAACUCUUGAAACUUUUGCACAAAUGCACAAUGUUGACAUAUGAAUUCACAUAUUUAUUUUCCAUUUUUUAAAAAAAAAUUGGAUAAGGGUUGUUAAUUUUGACAUGAAAAGAAAAGUUUCUUUUACUUGAACUUAAUUCUACACAACCCAAGUCCUUUGAUUUGCUGGAGCAACCUAGGGGAUAAUUCUUUUAUCAUGUGCUACAUAUAUGUUCUUUUGUUCUUUUACAACAUCCCACCUCUGUAUGUCUUGCAUUAUCCCAGCAUCUUUUUNNNNNNNNNNNNNNNNNNNNNNNNNNNNNNNNNNNNNNNNNNNNNNNNNNNNNNNNNNNNNNNNNNNNNNNNNNNNNNNNNNNNNNNNNNNNNNNNNNNNUUAUGGUGAUCUAUAUUGACAAAAUCUCUUGGGAGGAUCACAUGCGAACAUUGCUGAGGUCGGAUUAAUAUAGUCAAUUAUAUGGGUCAUUUUUCCAAAUUAAAAAACUCGAAAAAACAAGCUUUUAAUUAUCAUUUGGUGCAUUGAUAUGUUCUGAAUUAUUUUCUAGUGAAUAUGAUCUAAAUAAGAAUAAUCUUUUUCGACAUGUUCAGGUCAAUAUUCAAAAUAAGAAGCUUUCUUUCUUCUGGUUGUUGUAUGGAUAUUUGACCUGUUACCCUCUGUGGCAGGAUCGUUUGCUGUUGUGGAUGACAUCUUCUGUUUGUUUCAAGGACACCCAGAGGGUGUUGCUCUUCUCAAGCAGCAAUAUGGAUUGAGUGAGACCACCAAUGAGGUCACUGCUGUCAUAGAAGCUCAUAGAACUCCGAGAGAUCGGAGGCCUUAUGCUGCCGAUUGAGUUAUGAAAGACAUCACUGGAAAGUUUGCAUUUGUGCUCUUGGACAGCCCUUCAGAAACCACUUUUCUGGCUGCUGUAAGUAACAAUAAUUUUCAUGGUUUCAUUCUGGGGAUAUCUCUCUCUCUGUCUCUCCCUCCACCUGCGAGCUGUCUAAUCCUUUAUGUCCUCUUAAUUAUGCAGAAUGUUGGUGGAAGUGUCCCUUUCUUCUAGGGAAGUGAUUGUGAAGGCGAUCUUGUUCCCUCAGACGAUGCAGGAGUCAUAAACAAGGGCUGUGGGAAACUGUUGCACCAUUCCCUAAAGGUAAUUAUCUUCACAGAUCAUAGAUGCAGUGUCACUGGCAUUUACUCCGAGCAUUGGAACGUGAAAAGUAAGGAGGGAUGAGCUCUGCUGAUAGGAGAAUGUUAUGUUAUUGGAUAACAUCAUAUUGGAAGAGCAACAUUGUAGGUUAAAAAGCACAUUUCAAAAUGUGCGUACAUUGUAGGUUAAAUCGUUCACCAUUGAACAUUGCCUUUUUUUGAACUCAGGAUGCUUCUUCAUCAGCUCUGGAGGUUUGUGGAGUUAUGAGCACCCACCAAAUGAGGUGAAGUGAGUUCCUGGGGUGGAUAGCUUGGGCCGAGUGCAUGGCGCCACAUUCGAAGUGGUGCAGAGACUAAGAAGGAGUCUAACAUGCCUAGAGUUAGGAGUGCUGCGAACUGGUCCUCGCACUACCUAGUCAUAUGGUUUGUGGCCCUUUCUUGGCCAGGCCAUUUGCUAUUGAAUGGCCUUCUGUUGCUUAUGACCCAGUCACCCUUUCUCAUCAACAAUUUUCAGCUCUAAUGGUCAGUUGCUCCAUGUUGAGAGUUUGAGAUGACGUUGUUUUAUGCAGCUGUAUCUGUUGCUUAUAAAACCAAGCUUUUCCAGAACCUGAUCAUGCUAUUUGCAAUAAUAUCUUUCUGGCAUUUCAUGAAGCCAUCAUGCAGAGUUCAUUCAAUGUAAUGUUUUUUCGCUUAGAUGUCUAUUAUGUAACUGUAAUCUACCAGUAAUGAUUAGAAAGAUUCUUGGUAUCCACUUCUUUUUGUUUAAUUCCUCUGCACAAAAUUCGCAUACAUGUUCAUGGAUCUCCAUGCAACAUCAAGUAUACUGUGAAUAUCAUGCUCAAAUCAGGUCUAUGUAGACUUAAUGUUGACUUUCUCAGAGAUUUUUACAUAGACUUCUAGAUAUUUUAUUUAGUCUCCGUAGUAUGAUCUGGUAAGUUCCAAUGAAGUAUAUAACUAGAGGAAGAUAUGGCGCAAAAAGGAUAUAGCUUCAGCUUCAGGUAGAUUUGGGCAUCAAACACCUUGCAGACACGCUUCUCCCAUGUUGUCGUGCAUACAUUAGAAGAUUUUAUACAAUUUAGCCUUUUGAUGGUUGCACGCUGAAAAAUAGCAAUUUGGGGAUAGCACUCUGCUAAUAAUAGUUCUUGUAUAUCUCAAGAGCCAACUGUUUGGUUUAGUGCAUACAGCAGCUGCAGUCCAUGUACACUGCCACAUUAAAUUCCUCAGCUAUCUUAAAUAAGCAUGAGAGCAUUUGUGCCAAUUUUUGCUGCAAUUCGGAAUCUAUUAGUGUCAAACAAGAUGAGCUAAAAAAUCACAACUCAGCAUGAUUUGACAGUUUCAAUGGACCUAGCGCUCUGCAAGUUCUCCCCUUCUAGUGAACUCCACUUGAAACAGAGCAAUCACAGAAUCCACAAAUCUGAAAGAUAUUGCUCACCUAAGGUCAACCAUCCACACCUCACAAAAUAUGUGCAGUUUGAUUCUCGAGCUGUCUUACCAAUAAUUCAAAUGGUUCUUCAGACAUUGUGGCAGCCAAACCUAGAAGCAAGUUGUAUUGAUGCUCAUAAGUAUGGGCACGGGCAUAAAUGAUCUACGAAUUCAUGGAAAGACUAGAUUACAGCGAGUACACUAGCAGAAAAGAAGGAAGAGUUGCCAACAGUGUAGGAGGCAUUGCUUACUUUAUUUAGGACUGCACCAGGAUCCAUGCCAAAUCUCUUGGCUAUUGGUACAAUACGGUCAGGGCAACUGCAGGUGUACAAAGUCAAGAAAGUGCAUGUGCACUUACAUGGAUGUAAGCCGAGUAUGAAACAAAAGCAGCUUUUUCUAAGUUAAGAAAAUGACCGACAGAUUAUAUUGGGAUAUAAAGUUCCAUCUGUGUCGACAUAAGCUGCCUCGCCAUUCCCCCUCUCAUGUGAGUAAGCAGCUGGAAAAAUUGUUAGGAUCAUGGAAUCCAGAAACCAUAAAUAAAGAGUGAUGGAAAGAGGGGAAAUACUGUUGUAGGCUUCUAAUGGUUAUGACAAAAGUACGUUCUCCUAGCCUCUUCCCUACUUGGUUUGAACCACUACAUAUAGUGCAUUCCAAUGUACUGACUGUAGAUUCCAGAAAAUGACAGUGCCAUUCUCCCAGAAUCACCUGAUACAUACAUUCUGAUGCCAAGAUCAACCACAGCUGCAUUUCUUUAUGAGAAAUUCAAUCACCGGGUUACUAUUUGCGUUGCUCAUCUAGGAAACAUAAAAUGCAACAGAAGUUAAUGCCAGAAACCUAAUAUGCAAUUCAGACCAACCUGAGCAGAAACACACAGGGUAUGUGCAAGCUGAGUUUUCCCAGACCUGAAGUGACGUUAGCAGCAUUUCUGAGAAAACCAACUAACAAAAGGUCUUACUUAUCUCCUUAUGCUGACGCAUGUGGCCUCCAAGCUGGAUCGAAAGAAUUCGAUGAGAGGGCCACUGCCAUGAUGCAUGAGUUACUUAGCUUCACAAUGGAAAAGAGGUUGGUAACCGAUCACCUCAUCCACUUUCGACAAGAAUUCAUGAUGCCUCAGAAGCUGAUGAGACUCCUGUUGAAGCAUUUUGGCUUUUGCUAUGUCUCUCAGAGGGGGAAAAGGUUUAGUGUGUUCUUGACAGGAGCUUAUGAAGGUGCAGAGCUGAUUCAGAAAUCUCUGCUGAUUAUUUGGAAGGAAAAGGUCCUAAGCCUUAAUGGUUAUAGAGGGAGGAAGAAAAAGAUAGAAACCUUUACAGACUCAUCAGAUAUGGAAGAUAAUGAUUUCCAUGAGGGUAGCCCUGAGGAUGAAGGCGUCCCAAUGCAGCUUGACCAAGAUGAAGCCAUAAGUGAAUUGGAGGAUAUUGCAGGUGGAGAUAGUUACUUUAUGGAUAUUAGUGAAAUUGACCAAGCAUAAAAGCCUCAUGACUCAAUUUCAGGUCAAAUGUUCUUGUUCGAGCUGUCAAGAUAACUUGCUUUUCAGCCUUUUUCUUCACAAGUUUGAAGUUUUGAGUAUCUACUAUAUAGAUUUAAUUAGACAAACUCCCAUUUGCAUCUGUAAAUUAAACCAAUAGUAGGCCGAUCCAGUUUAUUCCUCAUUUGUCCUAAAUAUCACCUUUGAAAAUAGGAAGACUCGUUCUUUAGUUUGAAUGAUAGAUGGCUUUCCUCAGCUUUUGGCAGUUCUUUCGUAUACCUCAUUGAUAGCAUAAAUUGUGUUCAUGAUUUGUUACAUGGGCUAGCAUCUGCUGGACACCAUUGUGCAAGAAAGUUCUUUUACUUAUCAAAAGAAAAUUAUUGCGAACUUCAAUGGAGAUGAUGUUGGGUAAUUAGCUUUUAAAUAUUGAGAUUAGGUUUCUUCUUGGGCUCAUAAUAACCACGAUAUCCACAAAUGUUAGCCUCAAACCAAACUGCUAUUAUGUGUGGUUAAAAACAUAUUGUACCGGAUAAUUUCAUGUUUUUCUUCUUUAUGAAAAAACACCGUGGUUGAUAAAUUUCAUUUCAUCUGAAGUUAUUCGAAAUGACACUAAAUAACUUCUUUUGGUUACAUCUCUUUUCAAGCCUGAUGAAGUCCUAUGACCUUUCCAUACAUGCCAUGCUAGAUUAAGUUCCUUAGAGCAUAUAAGGCUGUAUUAUAUAAAUCCGAUUGGCUAAAUAUAAAUAGAAGCAGCAGAAAGGAUACUCAGGCCUUACCCUUACGAUAUAUUUUGCAAUAGAUACACGAAGGUGACAAUGUAGUUGACAAAUCUUUUGGGUUACCAUAGAGAAAGUAUCGCAUGUCAUGAAUGGUUUGUUGCCGAGCACAAGAAACUUAAGGACAAGCUAUGACGAGGGUGACAAAGUGUCCAUUGCAGAGAAAGGAAAUGAAGAAGUUCCUGGGAGCUCAUUAUAUGCCUCUAGCUGUCAACACGAUGACUAACAUCUAAUUGCAGAUUAACAAAAGAAAGCAUUUCGCCUGCCUUCCUGGUAGGAGAGACUUCUUUAGUCCUUCACAUCGGCGAUGCCUCCUGGUGUUAUCUAAAAAAUGUGUGUUUGUCAAGUCCAACAUAUAUGGAAUAUCUCGGUCUCAUCUUAUUGACAGAUGAGCUCUUGCUAAAUUUUCUGACAAAAUUGAGCGAUGGUCUUGAUAAAUGUGCAUCAUCUACGUAACAGUGGAGUUAAUAAUAAUAUGCCAGUCCUACUGAGGAAAAUUAUCAAUAUCCACUUCUUUUUGUUUAAUUCCUCUGCACAAAUUUGUAUUCGACGUGUUCAUGGAUCUCCAGGCAACAUCAACAUACUCUGAGUAUCCCUAUAUGGACGCAGUACCAACUUUCUCACAGAUUUUGAUAGAGACUUGUAGAUAUUUUACUUAGUAUCUGCAGUAUGAUGUGAUAAGUUUCGAUAAAUUAUAUAAUCAGAGGAAGAUUUGGCACAAAAAGGAUAUAGCUUCAGCUUCAGGUAGGUUUGGGGCAUCAAACACCUUGGAGACAUGCUGCUCCCUUCUGAGUUUCCUAAACAUCAACCUAAUCGUGGCUGCACCAGCCAGAACAUGCCCACCUGCAGGUUUCACUGGGUCUGAUGACACACCUCCGCCUGGAUCAGCUACAACUGAAACAAAUAAAUCAAAGACAGUCAUAAAAAAAUAAAAUCCUUUUCCUAUGUCAUGGACUGCAGCUACUGUAUGGUUCAACAGUUUACACCAAAUAGCUGAUUCUUGAGAUUUACAAGAAUUAGUAUGAGGUUAGUGCAGUCCCCAGAAUGCUAUUUGUCAGUGUGCAACCAUCAAAGGGCUAAAUUGAAUAAGAACUUUGAAUGGAUGCAGGACUACGUGGGAGAAAUGAGAUGUGAUGCAGUACCUUGAUUGGUCAUGUACACUGCCACGCUAGAUUCCUCAGCUCUUAACUAAAUGUGAGAGUAUUUGGCCAAUUUUUGCUGCAAUUUGGAAUUCAUUAGUGUCAAACCAGAUAAGCUGCAGAAUAACAACUUGCAUGAUUUGAUGGUUUCAGGAUCAACCUGGUGCUCUGCAAGUUCUCUUCCAGUAAAAUCCACUCAGAAGAGAGCAGUCACCGAAUCCACAAUCUGAAAAAGGCACUCACAUAGGUCAACCAUCCACACCUCAGAAAAUCUGUCAGGUUUGAAUCUCGAGCAGUGUCUUACCAGUAAUUUGAAUGGUUCUUCAGACAUUCUGGCAGCCAAACCAAGAAGCAAGUUGUACUGAUGCUCAGAAGUAGAGGCACGGGCAUAAAUGAUCUUCAAAUUCAUGGAAAGACUAGAUUACAGCAAGUACACUAGCCAGAAAAGUAAGAGUGGCAGAAAGCAUUGCUUACAUUAUCUAGGACUGCACCAGGAUCCAUGCCAAAUCUCUCAGCAAUUGGUACGAUUCGAUCAGGAUGACUGCAGGUGUACUAAGUUAAGAAAGUGCACAUGCAGUUACAUGGACAGACGACGUUUAUGAAACACAAGCAGCUUUGUCGAGGUCAAGAAAAUUACAGAUAGAUUAUCAUAGGAUACAAAGUUCAUUGUGUGUCAAUGCAAGCUACCUUUCCAUUUCCUCCUCUCAUGUUGGCAGCUGAAAAUUUUUUACGAACAUGGAAUCCACAAGCCAUUAAUAAAGAACUAUUGAAAACAGGGGUAAAUACUGUUGUAGGAUUUGCAAAUAAGUAGAGUAUCUUCAAGCAUCACAUUCGACUAAUGAUCAACCUAAGUCCAAGUCUGACAAUAAUUAAGGCUUUUACUUGGUUAUGACACGGUACAAACUCUUCUGGCCUUUUCCUGCUUGGUUUUGUAUAUGCGUUCCAGUAUACUGACUGCAGAUUAUAGAAAAUGAGAGUGCCAUACUUCCAGAAUCAAAUAAUACACACAUUCUGAUGCCAAGAUCGCCCACAUCUUUAUUCUUCAUAGAAAUUCAAUCAUUAUGUUACUAUUCGGCAUUGUUCAUCUGAACCAAAAAUGCAACAGAAGUUAACGACAGAAAACCCAAUAUCCAAUUCAAACCAACCUGAGUACUAACACACGGGGUAUGUGCGAGCUGUGUUUUCCCAGACCUGAAGUGACGUCAGCAGCAUUUUCUGAGAAAGCCAACUAACAAAAGCAACUAAAAGUUCAUCAAAGGUAAUGUCUUGGGACUGUGAUUUUCACCCACAUUCGCCAAAUGCUUUUUUCAAUACCACCUGUUUAACAUCGCCAAACCGGUGAAAUUUGCUUUUGUUGAAAUGCAUGAAGAAUAAGACACAGAGUCUGCAAAAGAAAGUCUCUUACUGCCUAAAAGCUCAUCGAGGGCUUGGCUUCCAGUUGUGAUGCGAACAACUGACUUUCUCUGGAAAUAAAAACAUUAAAAGUACUUUGAGCAACACAUAGGCUAAUUUGCAGGCUUUAUUUCAAGGGUCCAUAACUCAUUGAGGUAUUCCAAAGAUGCUAUAGAAGUUCAAAUUGAUUGGAGCCACCAUCUCAGGUCAACAAGAAUUCAAGCUCUAGCCACUAUUUUUUCAGCUGCUUCGUAUAUCUUGUCAACUUUUGCCUUAGAUAAUCUUAUUAUUCCAGUUAAGUACUACCAAAAAAAAAAAAAAAGAAAGAAAGAAAAAGCAAAUCACUUGGCCAAAUAAGAAUAUGUUCCUCAACUUAAUUCUCAGGACUAAAGAUCAGAUAUACCUUCUUUGUAUUCAUAAUCAAGCCAUUGCGAGAUGAGAUUUGUUAUUAAUCCAUCUAUGCGAUAAUUGUGCAGAAAAUAGAUGUACCGAUGGUGCGAUUUCUAUGUGACGCAACAUAACAAACGCCGAAUUGCUCUUGCAAGAUUUAGAAGACAUACGUCAAAUAGGUGAAUUAGACGUGUUGGAUUCAAGUAGUAGCGGAAAUUACUCCUCGUCAAUUAAGGAAAAAAACUAAAACUAUGGUAUGCACAGAAAAUCACGACAAGUUCAAGAGGAAGUCAAAUGGAAACUCAGUAUCAUUCUCGGCAAUCACAUCAUGAAAAGGAAAUGAAUGAAGCUGCAGAGCUCGUGAACUCACUUGAGAGCUGAAAUGAAGAGGUUUCUACCGAGUCACAGGCUCCAGCCUGAAUAUGAACAGCUUUCCAUCACCCUGCAUAUGCGCCAAGUUGGACAUUUCACUUUUUUCCCCUGAAGAUUUACCUUCAAAUCUUUCGCUAUGAUUUUCUCUUCCCUCUGGUGCUUUUUGUUCAAAAGAAUCAAGAACAGAAGGAAUUCCUUUAAAUAACAUAUUCAUUCCAUCACCUGACCCCCGUAGCUUUCCAUCCUCUCACCUUGAGCUUCUUGGCAAGCUUCCUUUCCAAUUCCAGAUCCUCAGCAGACAUGGCAGCUUUCCGCAUAACAAGCUCGAGAUACUCUUCAAUCUUACUCUUUGAUUUUCUCUUCACAUUAUUCUUCAGUUUUCUGCAUUUCAGCGAACCAGAAUCGUCCUCCAACGAAGACUCAAGCUUAACCAUCGUGUCAAACUCUAAGUUCUCUGGUGAAUGUAGGAUUCAGGACAAAGGCAUUUCCUAGAUGAUCAAUGACAAUCUAGCUUUGCAACAGUGAUUAUUGAUGAAUUAGUUUGAGGAUAUACCUUAUUAAUCGAGCUAUGUCACCAAUACAUGGAUUUCUAAGACAUACAAUGGUGCAAUCCCAAUGUCGCAUAACAUAACAAAGGCUGGAAUUGCUCUUGUAUAUGAUCAGAAGACAAAAACUACAAACUAUUUCACGCGCAGGAAAUCACGACCAGUUGAAGAGAAAGGUCGAGACGUAAAAACACUAACGGAUUCACGGUGAUGUUCCAGGGAUUAUCGAGCUAAACCGAGCAACCAAACCGAAAUCGAGCUCAUCCGGUUGGCAGUAUUCAGAGUCACUUAAUAUCGACAUUCAGAGAGGAUUCACACUCCCCAGCUCCAUCGGAUCAUUGCAUCUUGCUUUUGACUUCAGAACAUUGGAGAUAGAGGACUUCCCUCCCCUUCCCAUCACCCUGGUGAGACUUGAUCUUCGUUUGGUUCCUAAGGUAAAGUCUCUACCACAGGAGUGGCAUACAUUGUGUUCAUGAUUUGUUACAUGGACUAGCAUCUGCUGGACGCCAUUUUGCAAGAAAGUUCUUUUACUUGUCAAAAGAAAAUUAUUGCAAACUCAAUGGAGAUGAUGUUGGGUAAUUAGCUUUCAAAUAUUGAGAUUAGAUUUCUUCUUGGCCUCAUAAUAACCACGAUAUCCACAAAUGUUAGCCUCGAACCAAACUGAUAUUAUGUGUAGUCAAAAACAUAUCGCACCGGAUAAUUUUAUGUUUUUUUUUUCUUUAUGACAAAACAUUGUGGUUGAUAAAUUUCAUUUCAUCUGAAGUUAUUCAAAAUGACACUGAAUAACUUUCUUUUGGUUACAUCUCUUUUCAAGCCUGAAGAAGUCCUAUGACCUUUCCAUACAUGCCAUGCUCGAUUAAGUUCCUUAGAGCAUAUAAGGCUUUAUUAUAUAAAUCUGAGUGGCUAAACAAAAAUUGAAGCAGCAGAAAGGAUACUCAGGCCUUACCCUUACGAUAUAUUCUGCAAUUGAUACACAAAGGUGACAAUGUGGUUGACAAAUCUUUCGGGUCACCAUAGAGAAAGUAUCUCAUGUCAUUUCAUGAAUGGUUUGUUGUCGAGCACAAGAAACUUAAGGACAAGCUAUGACAAGGGUGACGAAGUGUCCAUUGCAGAGUGAGGAAAUGAAGUGCUUGGGAGCUCAAUAUAUGCCUCUAGCUGUCAAUACGAUGAGUAACAACAAAUUGCAGAUUAACAAAAGAAAGCAUUUCGCCUGCCUUCCUGGUUGGGGAGACUUCUUAAGGCCUUCACAUCGGCGAUGCCUCCUGGUGUUAUCUAAAAAACGUGUGUUUGUCAAGUCCAACAUAUAUGGAAUAUCUCGAUCUCAUCCUAUUGAUAGAUGAGCUCUUGCUAAAUUUUCUGACAAAAUUGAGCAAUGGUCUCGAUAGAUGUGCAUCGUCUACCUAACAGUAGAGCUAAUAAUAAUAUACCAGUCCUGCUGAGGAAAAUUAUCAAUAUCCACUUCUUUUUGUUUAAUUCUUCUGCACAAAAUUUGUAUUCAACAUGUUCAUGGAUCUCUAUGCAACAUCAACUAUACUGUGAGUAUCAUGCUUAAAUCAGGUAUCGACCAAUCCCCAUAUAGACGCACUAUCAACUUUCUCACAGAUUUGAUAUAGACUUCUAGAUGUUUUACUUAGUAUCUGCACUAUGAUGUGAUAAGUUUCAAUAAAUUAGUUAAUCAGAGGAAGAUUUGGCACAAAAAGGAUAUAGCUUCAGCUUCAGGGAGUUUUGGGGCAUCAAAUACCGUGGAGACAUGCUGCUCCCUUCUGACUUUCCUAAACAUCAACCUAACCGUGGCUGCACGAGCCAGAACAUGCCCGCCUGCAGGUUUCAUUGGGUCUGAUGACACACCCCCGCCUGGAUCAGCUAUGGCUGAAACAAAUAAAUCAAAGACAGAGUCAAAAAAAAAAAAAAAAACAAUCCUUUUCCUAUGUCAUGGACUGCAGCUACUUUAUGCUUCACCAGUUUACACCAAAUAGCUGGUUCUUGAGAUUUACAAGAAUUAGUUUGAGCUUAGUGCAGUCCCCAAAUUGCUAUUUGUCAGUGUGCAACCAUCAAAGGGCUAAAUUGAAUAAGAACUUUGAAUGGAUGGAGGACUACGUGGGAGAAACGAGAUGCAAUGCAGUAUCUUCUUCUUCGACAUGGCGACCUUCAGGGUUUAGGAGCGUGUUCUUCUCGCUGAACUACUUCACCUGCUCCCUCAUGAGGUCGCUUUCGUGGAACACUUUCGGCAGUAUCCCCCUCAGGACACCCAUCUCCUUCCAAGAGUCUUGCAGGUCGUUCUCAAACUUGCUUAUUAUCUUCUCAUCCUUCUUCAGCAUCUGUUUGUUUUUUUCUUUUCUCUUUUCUUUUUUGUGUGAUUCCUAUGAUGAAGUCUUUCAGGAAGUAAAGCAAAUGCUCAAAAGUGAUAAGCAAAUAUACGUAGAGGCCAUCUUGCAAUGAGAUGCGACUGUUUUUGUCAUUCACACAGGUUGUCUUCAAAGAGUAUGGAAUACCUGAAGUUCCGUGUCCUUUAAACUUGUGGGCAACGCCAGAAAGAUUGCCUAGUGCGUUCUGAACUUCGUGUUUGACAAUAUCGGCGCUUCUUACUGCCAUUGGAAGUUGGGCUCAGCACUGCUCAACUUCCAGCCCUUUGGAGCAGAGCUUCUCUCUCAAUAAGCUUGUCAUUAAACUCUCUGCUUCAAUCUCUGAUGUUAAAGUAUCAUGUGGUAGAAUGGAAAAAUUCUUAAGGAUCCUCUAUGGGGAUGUUGUGGAGUAAUAGUUAUGUGUGUCUGUGAAGAGUAAAAACCUUCAAGUUAGGGUCUUCAAAAACAGAAACUGUCGGCUGCAUAUUCAAACUAAAGCUGAAUCUUGAGAAUUGGGCAUGAGCGGGUGUACAACAUGCAUACACAUCAUCUGUAGACCCAACAGAGCUUUAAAAUGUGCAGGGAAGGAACAAAUCAGAGCAAACUGAACGGAUGAUGGACAAGAAAGUAUCUUACUCUGGGAGAAAAUGAACAGAGAGUCGAAAAGAGCAUACGACACUAUCACAUGAGACUAAGUUCACUAAACGAAGGAAAAGAACAACAAAGGAUUAAAAAUCACAUAGUGAGAAAAGCAUGACUAAAUUUACCAGUAAAGGCAAUCUUGCUGUUGUGUUUUGCAAAGGCCUAGUAAGCGGCAGAUUACUCGGUGCAUGUAAGAUUUCUACCACGUUCCAUUGAGUUCUGGCUGUAAUGAAUAAAUUGUGAGAGACAGAGUGACUAGUGGGUGAUACGAAAGGGCCUGCAAGUGGCCCGGCUGCUAGUUGAUGUUGCUACUGUCCUUUGAUUUCAGUAACAGAAGACAUACAGAGCAACCAGGUUCUCUAUGAGUUCAUCUAAAUAUGAAAAGUCUUGUAGUUUCUUAACUAGAUUUUUUGUUUUUCUCCUUUUUGGCAACUUUUUCUUAACUCUUUUGGAUAGGUUGUUCCUUUUGAUGAAAAAGACACUUAUUUCAUAAUAAUAAAAUCCAUUUUAUUAGUAAGUAGAAUUUCUCUAGAAUUGCAAAUACGAAAAAGGAAAUACUGAAGUAAAUAGAUUUCGAACUCCAUUUUUGGCUAAAAAUUUUCAUGAAACACACAAUUUUCGUUAAUACAUAUAUCUUGCCAGUAUAGACUUAAAAAUGGACAAUGCAAUUUAAGAUGGUCAAGAUAAUUGUCAAACCAAUCCCAUAAAUAUCUUAUAACCUGAUAUUGAAUUAGAAUUUCUCACAUCUUACACUCAUUCAACUUUCCUAAAUGAAUUUGUACCUUUAGACAAUUAUCUUGCGCAAAAAUCAUUUAUAUAUAUAUAUAUAUAUAUAUAUAUAUAUAUAUAUAUAUUGUUUUAGAUAUGCAUAAAAUGCGUGCUAUUUAGCUAGUAUGUAACUGUAAAAUUGUAAGUCUAUAUAAAGCACAUGCAACAACAAUAUUCUUGUGAAGUCAAUCGUAUCAUGGAACCGAUAUAUGUUAAAGAGUUAGAUCGGGUUGAUUUGGGUCUGAUAAAAAAUGAUCCAACCCGCAUCAAGUUGUUUGACUCAUAUUGACCCACUUUUCUGCAAUAUAUUUUUUUACAACUAAUACCCAACCCAAUCUGACUCCAACCCAACUCAUAUCCACAUAACUUAGGUUCCAAUUUUCAGCAAUAUAAUUAAAGUGGGUACAUUUCAAACUUGUGCAAUGUGCAUAUCCAUAUUCCACCUCUACUUGAAGUGUGUAGUCCUACUUUUGGCUUUGGAAUUUGUUUUAAUAGUUGAAUUUGGCCAAUCGAAUGUAGAGAGCUAAGUCGACUUGAGAUUUCGUAAGGGACGUGGCCCUCCCGCCUCCUUGGCAACAACCAAUUUGCUCGUCGUCUUCAUUAAAAAGUUCCUUUUUUUAGCAACAUCUUUUGGUUGGUGAGGUUUCCUGUUCUUCUACUCUCACAAAGUUUUCAAAUUAUUCUUAACUUUGCAUUCGUAUUUUCAUCGCCCCACUUUCUACACCUUUUCCAAACUUGGCAUUAUUGUCCUCCGAAAGAACCCAAAUGUACUAUUCAUUUAUUUUUAUUUUUAAAAAGACUAGAAAAAAAAGGCUAUAUCAAUUUAAAACUUAAAAGCCGUAAUUGUCAUUUUGUCCUUAACAAGUCCACCUUGAGCUCUUUACCCGGUGUUGUACGUGUGAUUAGUACAAAUGGUAAAUUGGGUCACACACCCGUAUUUUAACUCAUAUUUAAUAGGAUGGAAGAUCUAUGGAUUGCUUAAAUAAAGGUUCAAAUGGAUCUAAUAAAAUAACUCCUAAUCGAUGAUGGGUUUUAAUAAGUUUAGAAAGAACCCACUAUUGACCUAUCUAAUCAAAGGAAGGUAUUUUGGACCGGUGGUCACUUUCUCUGUUGGUUUCAUGCCCAAAGCAACAUUGGCCUAUUUUAUUUUAUUUUUUCUCUUUUCAAUUUUCAAGUGUUGAAAAUGAUUGUGUUUAAAAUUCCUGAAAUAGAAAAAGGUUUUAGUGGAGUCAAAAAUUUUCCCUCUAGAAAUAAGAAGAAAUAUUGGUUUCAGUAUGUCAUAAGUCCAUCCAUUUAUAAUCUAACUAAUAUAUAUAUAAAUUCUUAGUUAAUGAUUUAUAAAAUCUUGCAUAUUUUGGAGUAUAUUAUGAUGCUUGAAAUUAAACCAAUUGCUUGUCUCUUACACCUACACCAACAUAGUUGCCACACUUACGACAAAAGGAUUUUAUAACGUAACUUCAUUGUGAAGCUAGAAGUUAGACUACCAAAUUACGCAUUUCCUACCAAAUUUACAAUUAGAGUAUUUUUCAUAUUUCUUAUUUUACACGAGAGCAAAAAUUUAUAUCAUAUAUAUCUUUUCAGAAAUAGUUCCUUGUGUUAUAUUAGAUAAAUUUUUAACUUCGGUGAAAAUGUUAAAUGCGCUCUAAUAAUUUAAUUCGUCAAUUCUGAAUCAAGGUUGGGUCGAAUUUAGAUCAUUAAAAUUGAAUUAGAUGAAAAUGGGUUAAUAGCUCAAUAGGAAUUAAAUUGGUUUUUCAAUCUAGGGCCUUAGCCUCACGGGUGAUCUCUAAGCACCGCGACGUAAUUCUGGGGAAAUUUCUUACCAACGGCAGCCUCCCCUUCCUUUUUCACACCAGGAAAAAAAAGAAACAACAAAAUUCAAAAAAGAGAACCCAUCGCGGGUUCGGGCGCCGAACCUGCAUUCCCCGAAACGCCCUCCCCCAAACCCGAAAUUCACGCCUCCACCCACGCCGGCCCAGGUUCAAAUGGGAGGGCAUUCCGGACUUUUCACCAUCGCUUUCCGUCUUUAUCCGCCCACCGCUCCCUUUUCCUUCCCGUUUUCUCUUUUGACCAAAAAGACCACCGUCGUCGUCGUCUUCUAGGGUUUCCCCUCCUCCUUGCGAAACCUCCAUCGCCGUCCCCUUCCCUUUACCCGCUGAUUUCUUCGAAAUUCCGCGCGUCGUUCCAAGAAUCGUCCCCUUCCCCUCGGCGAAAUCCCUCUUCCUUCCCGAAGUCUCGAUUUUUCUUCUCGCCUUCUCGUUCGAAUCGAAUAGAAUCGAAUCGAGUCGAAUCGGGGGUGGCCCGCCGCAAUGCAAGGGGAUUGCGACGCCGCCCCUCCCGAGAACCCGGAGCCCCCGAGCCCGACCCGCGAUUCCGCUUCGGCCAGGGCGGCGGCGGGGGCGGCGGUUCGGACGACGAUUUGUGCCUCGACGUGUCCGGGGAGAACCUGGAGUACCCGAUGCUGUCCCCGGCCUUGAACGGGUCCGCGGUGAAGGAGCUGUAUUUGUAUAAGAACGAGUUCAGUUUGCUCCCGAAGUGGGUCGGGGAGCUGCGGAGGCUGAAGACGCUGAAGUUCUUCGCGAACGAGGUGAACCUGAUCCCGAGCGAGCUGGGGAGCCUGGUGGGGCUGGAGAGUGCUUGCAGGUGAAGAUAUCGCCGCCCGGGCUGAACGGGCUGGCGCUGCGUAAGUUUGGAAGGGCUGAAGGAGCUCGAGCUCAGUAAGGCUCGAGCUGCUUUUAGUUUCGCACUACAAAUACAUAUGUACGUGCGUAUCGAUUGAAAAAUUAUAAAAUAAUUAAGUAAUUGAGUAAGAAUUUUUUUAAAUAUGGAUAUAUCAUAUAUAUCGGUCCAAUUUGAGGAUGGAUGAGUGGAUGGCUAAUUUACGUUCAGAACCAGGAAUUGGUCUAGUGCUUAUUAAAUUGGAAUCAGAAAUCAGAUCAAUUCCCAUGGGAAUUAUCCAUUUUGGAUCAGUCUGGUUUGGUUUCGGGUGAUUUUUUAUUCCUUUGCACCCUUACUAAUAGCCUAACCAAGACCUAACCGUUCUUCAAUUGGUCAUUUUUCGAAUUGUAUAGAUUUAUUUCUGGUAAAUGGGGACGCGGGUCCCCGGGCCCGGUUGGAACUUGGGCCGCAUCUCUUUGGAUCUUUAGCUUGGGACAUCACUGGGCUCCUAUAUCAAGCCCACUGCAAUUUGAAAAGAACUUUCAAAGCCCAAUUUCAGAUACACGCCUGUUAAGCCCAUCUUGAAAGACGACUGGAAUAAGCCCACCUUUUUAAACGCAUCAGCCUACGUUAAGCCUAAUUUCUAGAUGGAUUAAGCCCUGAACCCACACUGAUUCUAUCUUCCAAUAUAAAGCCCUAUCUCCUUAUCCUCUAGUCUUUGCCCUUCACUUUCUUCUUACUUUCAAUUCAUUCACAAACAUUCCCAGAACAUGGAAGAUCCAAAACCACUACGAACAAAAAAAAAAAAAAUUAGUACCAAUCAUCGAGAAACAAAUCACAUCUUAAAUGAUUCAGCAAAGUCAACAUGGUUCGGCCUUUAAUCUCAUCGAAACAGGACAGAUCAGAAACUAGGUUCCGUGGUUUGUCACCUAUGCCAGGAGAGCAACGAGCAUACGAGUUAAUAAUUGAAGCUUUCACACUCGUCCAUGAACGAAACUAGAACUAGCGGAGGAGAUGUAGAGAACAUUUGGACUCUUCAGACCUUGCCAGCCAAAAACAGAGCCGAACAAGGUUGACGCGGGAGCAGCUACUGACGAUGGUUUACAGCGAGGAAUGACAGCGAAUGGUGCAAGAAAUCACUAAAGAGCAACGAGGAUCAGCUUUUCGUAAGGUUCUCUGUCCAUUUUCCCUUCUCUCUCUGAUUUUUUCUUUUAUCUCUCGUCCUUCUUGCUCUCUGUUAACCUUCCUCUAAGUGCCGGGAAUUCUGUAAUGGAUGAAGAUGGGCGGCGAUGAUCUACCGAAGGGUGCUGUAGCUGUUGAUGAUCGUGAAUCAUUGAGAGAGAAAUUGUGGGCGUUUGAACAGAAAAAGUUAGCCCAAAGCAACUUUUUGCUUAAUGGGAUUAGUUGGUGAUGUGACUCGUUUUCUAUUUCCACUAUAAGAUAAAGCAACUUCCUCGGUGGAUUAGUUGGUGUGCCUAACUCUUUUCGUUGUUUUGCCCAAAGCACUGUAUUUUUGUUCUUUUUAUUGAACCGUCUAGCUAUCUUUGAUGACUUGCAGCUGUAUGAUAGCCAUUGUUAGGUGAAUCUCAACAUUUAUUUUAGUCGGUGUAAGUUGCCCAAAGAUGCUUAUUUGUUAGUCCUAUUCAUUGUGUUCAGCUUCAUUCAUCACUAGACAAGUCAAAAAGUAUUAAUAUAUAAUUUACAAGAAAUACUCUAUUACACUAAUGAAUAGGAAAAUCAUGCAAAGGACCACAAUUCUCCUAUUAAGCAAUCCCGAUCUCAAAUAUUACCUCAACAUCCUUCAUCAAAUUAUUAUUGCACAUCUUGCUGUGAAUUUUUAGCACGUAACCGCCACAUAAAAGCCUGCAUUGAUGGCAUUUUCAUCAAUAACGCAUGAAACAAAGACAUUGAAAUCAUAAGGUUACUAAGAAUGUAUGGAUGCAAAAAAUAAAAAUGGCAACAAAACACUCAUAAGUGAUCAAUUUUUAUGAUAAUCUACGUGCACUCUAAGUGGUCAUACGACAAAAAGUCACCUUUUGAAAUCUGUUUUGGAUCAAGACUUUUGGCUUGUGUAUGAAACAUAUGACCUUUUUCUUGUCGCCAUCCAAAACAGAGGAUAAGAGGUGAUUUUUCUUCAAUGAUCAAUUCCGAGCGCACACAUAUUUUCUCUAUAUAGGCUCAAUAUCCUUGUGAUUUCAAUGUCUUUGUUUCUGCUUUAUUGGUGAACAUGCGAUCAAUGUAGGCUAUUAUGUGACAGUUAUAGUGCUAAAGAUUUGCAUAUGUUUAAGAAAAUAAUUUACUGAAAUGAUUUGUCUAUAUUGUGGAAAUACAGGAAGUUCCUUGAUUCUUCCUUCAAUGUGGACGAAUUGAUAAAGUUAGCUUUGUCCUUAUUGAACAAACAAAGUUAGCCGUCUAUGAUGACUUGUUGUAUAACAAAAAGUCACAACGAAAAGUCUUGGUCUUCCUAUAUAUAUAUAAACAAAUAUAUCCCCUCCCCAAACUACGGAUAUCUACCCUUAUCCCUCUAAACAUUAGGAGACACCCACUUGUGGAUGAAAGACUUUGAUUUUGAUCCCUCUAACCACUUGUGAGCAUCCUUGAAAGUCUUGGUCUUUGUUUAAUGUUUUUAGUAGGUGAAAGUUUUGGUCUUAAUGGACUUUAUAGUUUUCUCUCUUCAUUAGCUCAUUUCAUCACUUUGCUUCACCAUAACCCAUGCUCCUCCCCCUGCUCGACAGUGUUCUCUUCCUACUCAUCCGAACCUAGCAUUCGUGCUUGCUGGAUUGCUAUCGUUGAUACUAAUCCCGUUCACCAGACUACUCCAGGAAGUUUACACGGAAAAGGUAAGAGACAUCUUGCUUUCUUUUUCCCUCAAACUGAUGUAGGCAGAACUUCGCUACCUAAAGCAUCUCGUGGGCAUUUAUUACACGAGGGCAACCGCCAAUUCUUUCAAAAAUCUUUCUAUUAAUGGAGGCAAAAACAAUAUCUUGAGCAAAAGAAGAGGCAGCAGCAGCAACAGAAGUUUGGAUCUUAAAUCGAUUGCAUGCGUACCUAUAGUCCUGAUUGAAGUUGAUGUGAAAUACUUGAUAAGUUUAAUAACAGGUUUAAUAACAAAGAAUUGUUAUUUCAAUUUUUGUUAGAUAGUAAUAUUAGGAUGUUAAGAUUAAUUUUUAAUCUCUCUAUCAUUAUUCUUUUUACUAAACACACACUGAUAUGAAAUAAUUUUACAUGAUUAGAAGUACCGAGAUCACAGUAUUAAUUUAUAAUGGAAUCCGUAUUGUUAUUCUUCUCGCAGAGUAAUUAUUUCACAUCGUUAAUAUAUUCUAAUUUUAGUCCAUGAAAUUGGGGAAGUAACAAUAAAUAUCAUAAGAGGAUAGCUUCAUUCCUCUUCCGCAAAGACUCUCGGGAAAGUCACGUUUGCCAUAAUUUGCUGCGUCAAAUAAAAUAAAUAACUUUUGUUGUGUCUUUUCACAUAUUCACUCUUUUAAUAAUAUCUGACCAAAAGACUCUUAUAAUAAAAAGUCCUUAUUUUAUAGAUAUAGUGGAUUUACCAUUAGCCAAAAGGGAUAAGAUAAAUUAACAAGGCGAUUGAGAUUUAGGAUUCUUUUAAUAUAUACUAGUAUAAUCAAUUGAGUUAAGUCAAUACAGUUGCAAUUCAAACUUCAUAGUAGUUCCUGCCGAAGUGCCCAAGGUGUUGUGUGGGGAUGACUUGUUUUACCAAUGAUAGUUCAGUGCAGGAAAUAAAUCCAUGUAUUUUAUUUCUUGAUAAAGAACAAUAUAUAGUUGUAUGUGAUAAAGAAUUAAAUUUUGAAUUAGAAAAUCAAAAUUGUGCUUUGUUAGGAAAGAACACGCAUAGGCUCGUGUUUUGUCCCGAAAAAAAAAAGGUAUAUCUACAUCAGAAAAGUUUUUGAGACUUUUCAUCUUUUAUAAUGUACAUUAAUCUCGUGUCAAUCGGACUUCACAUAUUGUUCAACCCCAAAAAGCACAAGUUGUCAUAUUAUGUUGUACACUCCCAAAAGCCGGUCUUUUUUUAUUUUAACUUUUGCAGGUGUCCAAAAGAUAAAGUUAUGACAUAGAAUCAAUUGGUGGGGCUGUGAAGCCAAGAACACAUCACUCCAUUAAUUUCUGCUCCAUCUUUUUUCUUUCCUUUGAGCACGAAAGGGGGGGGGGGGGACCGAUGCUGCAUGUAAUGGGCGAAUUAAGGGUUUAAUACAUGUUUUACAAAAAAAUCAUGAAAAAAAGUGUGAAUGAAAAGUAAAUAUUUAUCAUCAUGCAUGCCCACCAUGAGAAAGUAAAAGAUAUGAUCCGGAGAAUGGAAAGGCAAAAAAAAAAAUACGAAGUCAACACCUAAAAGAAGUGAAAUGUUAGACCCAAAAAAAAUUCAUAUGGUCAAACAGAAAAAUGUGGCUCUAACCUCCUUGUGAAUUUUUCAUUAUGAUGUUAUCAAAUUGUGGAAAACUCGUCAUUUUUUCUUAAUCGUAGAUCAAUGAAAGACAAAAAGAAAAGAGGAACACGUGCUCUCACCCACGGGCAAAUAGGAAAAACAUUGCUGGAAGCAACCUUCUUGUUUGUUCUUCGUACCGAUCAGAAUCAUCACAUCACCAUUGCCCAUGAUGGAGAGCACGUGAUUUCUGGGUGAAGUGCACAUCUUUCCAAACGAUGCCGAGUACAAAAUGUUUAAUGAAUGCAUUCCUCUGUUGUACAAAACGAUCUAAGAUAAACAAAUGAAAAGGCUGGAUGGAGAGGACUUACUUUCUGGAUGGAGAGCACAUGGUUUCUGAACGAUUCCAAAAUACCCUGUCUAAUGAACAAGUCUUCUUCGGCGGGUGUCUGUUGAUUAAUCCAAUGUUAAAAGUUAAUGUGACUUGGAGGAGUGCAAUGCAUCUCUUCUCGUUCCAACGGACCUCUUCCUCUAAGUCAAGCCAAUGUCAUUGGGUUGCGCCCGUCAUGGACAAAAAGAAAAUGGCUAAUCUUUAUCUCUAGAUGCGUGCCCUACUGCUAAGGCCAAUCUUCGAUGAAGAGCACAUGCGUUAUGGGUGGAGAGCCCGUGCUCUUUGAACGGUUACGAAUCCCAUGAUGAUUAAUGAAAAGAAGAUGCCUUGUUGCUACACAGAAAGAUGUAGAUAAAUAAAUGAAAAGACUGGAUGGACAGCACAUGCUUUCUGGGUGGAGAGCACACGCUUCCUAAGAGAUUCCGCUCUUUGAUCGCAUAUUUUGUAUUUGAUUAAUGUAGGCUUAAACGGUAGUCACAAUGCUGAAAAUUUGCAACAAGAUGGGCGGCAAUGAUUUGCUAAAGGGUGCUCAAGUAGUAGUAAAUGAUUAAGAAUCGCUUGAUAGGAGAAUCGUGGUCUUUUUAAACACAAUUUUCCUUUUCCAUUAGCGUGAUGUGUGUAGUAUAGUUUCCACUAGAUUAUAUAUUGUUAUUUGGUGAUUCUUUACCGGUUCAUGGAUUAGUUGGUAUGCUUGACCCCCCCUUUUUCUUGUUUAGCCCAAAGCACUCGCUUUGUUUUCCUUAUUUAAUAGACAAAGGUAAUCUUUAAACAUUACGAGACAAAUACCUGGCAGCGAAAAGUAUUUUAUUUUGAUUUCUCUAACCAUUGAUGUGCAUCCAUGAAGGUCUUAGUCUUCCUGGACUUUAGUUUUCUCUCUUUCCAUUAGCUCAUUGUCAUUUUGCUUUGCCAUGACCCUUAUUCUCUAGAGUGACUGAUUCCCCUAUUUUCUUUCUGCAUCAGCUCAUUAUCACUUUGCUUUACCAUAACGCAUGUUGUUCUUUACAGUUUACAGAUUCACCCAUGGCCAUUGGGGAGAUCCUUUUGAGUGCCUUCCUUCAAGUCCUAUUCGAGAAGUUGGCUUCUCUGGGAUUGGACCAUGCACAAAGGGAAGGAGCACCGCCCUUCUCUGGAAUUAGCAUUGACCUGCUUCAUAAGUGGAAGAAGAUGCUGGUUACAAUCAAUGCAGUGUUGGGUGAUGCAGAGGACAAGCGAUUGACCAAUAAAGGUCCAGUGAAGCUAUGGCUAGAUGAUGUUAGGGACUUGGCCUACGACAUGGAAGACUUGCUUGAUGAGUUCGCCAUUGAAGCCACCCAAGCCAAGUCAAAGGCAGAAUCCAGCACAAGCAGAGGUCUGGUGAAAUGGAAGUUCCCUUUCAUUAGCCAACAUAAAUCCUCCACAUCAAAUCCAAACCCGCAUUCUCUCGUGUCUGAAAUUGAGGUACAAAAGAUCUCUGACAGAUUGGAAGAGAUUGUCACCAUGAAGUCUCAUCUAAACUUGAUAGAGAGUGUUGUGCAUAAAUCUGACCACACCGACAAAAGGCUUCCUAGCAGUUCUUUGCCAGAGCCUCAAUUUUUUGGCAGGGAGAAGGAAGAAGCAGAAAUACUUAAACUAUUGACUGGUGAAGCCGAAAAAAUAUUGACUGGUGAAGCCGAAAAUGUCAAUACCACGCUGAGUAUAGUCCCCAUAGUAGGGAUGGGCGGUAUUGGAAAGACGGCAUUGGCUCAACGAUUGUACAAUGAUGUCAAAGUGAGUAGCUGCUUUGAGAAGAGAGCAUGGGUUUGUGUUUCAGAUGUUUUUAAUGUUCUCGACAUAACUAAGACUAUUUUGCGGUCUAUCACUGAGGUGUCUAAUGAGGGUGAAGAUCUUAACAGGCUUCAAGUUAAGUUGAAGGACAGUCUAUUAGGGAAAAAGUUUCUUGUGGUUUUAGAUGAUGUUUGGAAUGAAAACUACGAACAAUGGACCGCCCUCUUGAAGCCAUUUGAAGCUGGGGCUAAAGGAAGUAAGAUCAUCAUAACGACUCGCAACUAUACCGUUGUUUCCAUAAUAGGAGUUUCGUCAUAUCCUUUGAAGGAGUUGUCCCUUGAUAAUUGUACAAGCUUAUUAGCCUUCCAUGCUCUUAAAACGACAAGUUUUGAGAGGCACCCGGAUCUUGAAACAAUAGGCAAGAACAUAGCCAAAAAAUGUAAAGGUUCACCUUUGGCGGCAAAGAUAUUGGGAGGUCUUCUACGUGAUAAAGGGAAUCCUGAUCAAUGGGAAGCUAUCUUAAACAACAAAAGGUGGGAUCUUCCAAUUGGAGAAAAUGAUGAGGUUUUUCGAGUUUUGAAAUUGAGUUAUGUCCAUCUUCCUUCAUAUUUGAAGAGAUGUUUUGUUUAUUGUGCAAUAUUUCCCAAGGAUUACGAAAUUGAGAGGGAUGAGCUGGUGCACUUAUGGAUAGCAGAGGGUUUUUUUGAUGGAGGAAGAUCAAAGGAUAAUAUCUUGAAAUGGGGACGAGCUCACUUCGAUGAGUUAGUAUCUAGAUCGUUUCUUCAACAAUCAAGUGUCAACGUGUCUAAGUUUUCAAUGCAUGAUCUUUUGAAUGAUCUAGCAAAGUCAAUUGCGGGUGGGACAUGCUUUAACUCUGAGUCUCAGUUGGCAAAUAAUGAAGAUGAUGCAUCUCCCGAGAAAGUUCGUUAUGCAUCAUUCACCUCCUCGUGGCAUGUUACAUCAAAAUGCAUGAGAACAUAUCAUCGAAUGAAGGUACUAAGAAGUUUAAUAUUCUUGUAUGAUAGUGGGGAUCACAAAUUUGACAUUUCCAACAAAGUGCUACAUGACUUGCUAACAAAAUUGAAGUACUUAAGGGGGUUCUCCUUAAGUCAUUGUUCCAUCAUAGAGGUUCCGGAUUGUGUUGGUGAUUUAAAAUAUCUUCGCUAUCUCAAUUUCUCAUACACAAAUAUAAAAAGGCUACCUGAGUCAAUCGGCAGCUUGUGCAAACUACAAGCUUUGAUCUUACAAGGUUGUCAAGAGCUUUCUUUGUUGCCUCAGGGAAUCACAAAAUUGGUCAACUUGCAAUUUCUUGAUAUUAGAGACACAAGGAGUCUAAAGGAGAUGCCAUUGAAUAUCAGUAAUUUGAAGAAUCUUAUGAUCUUGUCUAAGUUUGUGGUAGGACCAGACAAAGGGUCACGGUUAAAGGAGUUAAAGAACUUGCCAUACCUUCAAGGAGAAUUGUUCAUAUCAGAAUUGCAAAAGGUGGAAGAAGUUAGAGAUGCAAUUGAUGCUAAUUUAAUUGGAAAGAGAGGCCUUAGCAACUUAUUCUUGCACUGGGGUGAAAGUUUUGGAAAUUUGCGGAAUGGGAAUCACGAAGCAUUGGUGAUUCACUCUCUACAACCUCACACUAAUGUUAAACAUCUCUCUAUCUUGCACUAUGGUGGUGCAAAAUUUCCCUCAUGGUUAGAUGGUCCAUCUUAUUCUAAGAUAGUUUCGUUAUGCUUACAGGACUGUCCUAAUGUCACAUCGCUUCCGCCACUUGGACAACUACCUUCACUUAGAGAAUUAUCUCUUGAAGGUCUACAUGCAAUAAGCAAGAUAGGUCCUGAAUUUUACGGAGGCAAAAAGCCUUUUUCAUCAUUAACAACUUUGAAGUUGGAAGAGAUGUUGGCAUGGAAGGAUUGGUCCCACUGUGUUGGGGGUCAAGAAGAAGAUGUCCCAUUCUCUUGUCUUCAGCAUCUAGUUGUCCGGGGAUGUCUUUCAUUGGUCAAGACAUUGCCUGGUCAACUUGAUCUUCUCAAGAAGCUAGAAAUUCAUUCAAGCCCACAUUUCAAUAGCUCAACCAAUGUGGUUUGCCUCCCAUCUCUCUGUGAGUUAUCCCUUAAGGAUUGUAACAAGGAGAUCUUAAAAAUCUUGGUCAACCUAACCUCUUUGACCAUUCUCAGCAUUAAGAAUCUUGCAGAGCUUAUUUGCCUUGAUCAUGGGUUUACGAGUUACUUGGUUAAGCUAAAGGAGCUUUAUAUAGGACAAUGUGACAAGCUAGAACACUUGUGGCAAAAUGGAAAUGAGAUGCAAAAUGUUGCUUGCCUUCAGAGUGUAGUCAUUGAUAGUUGUCCUCAAUUCACAUCUUUUGUGGCUGGAGACGAAGAAAUGGAGCUAUCCUGCAACCUUGAAAAGAUGGAAUUGAGAAAUUGCACGAGUUUACAAAAGCUUCCAA
rnacentral:lncRNA from 1 species